GACGAACGCUGGCGGCGUGCUUAACACAUGCAAGUCGAACGGAAAGGCCUUUUCGGAGGUACUCGAGUGGCGAACGGGUGAGUAACACGUGGGUGAUCUGCCCUGCACUCUGGGAUAAGCCUGGGAAACUGGGUCUAAUACCGGAUAGGACCGCACUUUAGUGUGUGUGGUUGAAAGUUUUUUCGGUGUAGGAUGAGCCCGCGGCCUAUCAGCUUGUUGGUGGGGUAAUGGCCUACCAAGGCGGCGACGGGUAGCCGGACUGAGAGGUUGGUCGGCCACAUUGGGACUGAGAUACGGCCCAGACGCCUACGGGAGGCAGCAGUGGGGAAUAUUGCACAAUGGGCGCAAGCCUGAUGCAGCGACGCCGCGUGGGGGAUGACGGCCUUCGGGUUGUAAACUCCUUUCGCCAGGGACGAAGCGUUUUGUGACGGUACCUGGAGAAGAAGCACCGGCUAACUACGUG
rnacentral:rRNA from 1 species